AGCCUGAUCCAGCCAUGCCGCGUGGGUGAAGAAGGCCUUCGGGUUGUAAAGCCCUUUUGUUGGGAAAGAAAAGCAGUCGGUUAAUACCCGAUUGUUCUGACGGUACCCAAAGAAUAAGCACCGGCUAACUUCGUGCCAGCAGCCGCGGUAAUACGAAGGGUGCAAGCGUUACUCGGAAUUACUGGGCGUAAAGCGUGCGUAGGUGGUGGUUUAAGUCCGUUGUGAAAGCCCUGGGCUCAACCUGGGAAUUGCAGUGGAUACUGGGUCACUAGAGUGUGGUAGAGGGUAGCGGAAUUCCCGGUGUAGCAGUGAAAUGCGUAGAGAUCGGGAGGAACAUCUGUGGCGAAGGCGGCUACCUGGACCAACACUGACACUGAGGCACGAAAGCGUGGGGAGCAAACAGGAUUAGAUACCCUGGUAGUCCACGCCCUAAACGAUGCGAACUGGAUGUUGGGUGCAAUUUGGCACGCAGUAUCGAAGCUAACGCGUUAAGUUCGCCGCCUGGGGAGUACGGUCGCAAGACUGAAACUCAAAGGAAUUGACGGGGGCCCGCACAAGCGGUGGAGUAUGUGGUUUAAUUCGAUGCAACGCGAAGAACCUUACCUGGUCUUGACAUCCACGGAACUUUCCAGAGA
rnacentral:rRNA from 1 species